ensembl:lncRNA
GGCACCUGACAUGGAACUGCAUAUGAAGCAAAGAUGUGAAAUUUAAUUCCUCCCUGCAGAAAAGGCGACAGACGGUGACAUUCACUGAUGCUUGCUGAACAUCUGUGGAGACCUAACAGUGGAUGUGAGCACCAUGAGGUGAUGAGUGGUGUGUUUCAGCAGUGGUGACAGCAACAGUGAAUUACCUCAGCUGAUGCAUGGAUUUACCAUGGGCCUAAUCAACAUGAUAGCCUCCUGUGUGGUGUAACAUUAAUCUGUGCCCUUGGGAAAAAGCUGGAGCUCUCUUCUCAGCAUGUGGCAGUGGACCAACCUGUGACAUGGGGUGACAGUGAUACCUGUGCCUUGCUGGCAGCCCCAUUUCUAUUGGUGUCAUCACCCAGCCAUUCUCAGGCAGUCAUCGGCUAUGUCUGAUGCUUCCCUAUCCCUGGCAUGCUCUGAAGACAGUUAAAAUACAAUCCAGCCCCAGGCCCUGUGGUGCUGGAGUUGAUGUUCUGCCAAGCAGAGGACCACUGACUGUGCCAGACAGAGAGGGUGGUUGUCCUUGGCAGCAGAACUACAAAGCAGAUGUUGAGAUGUGCUGCAUACUUUGCUCAACUCAGAUCAGUAGAAGAGCUCAGAGGGUUGUCAUCAGUGACACAGAGUCUGAUUAGAAGCCUGGAACUAGUGGUGUUCCCCAGGAGCUGGUGCUGGAUCUGAUCUUGUUCAACAACAUUGUUAACAACCUGGAUGAAGAGAUAGUCUCCAUCCUCAGCAAGUUUGCUGAUGAUACAAAGCUGGGAGGACAUCCAGACACACUGGAAGGCUGUGUUACCGUUCAACAAGACCUGGACAGGCUGGAGAGUUGGGAAGAGAGGAAAGGUUCAACAAAAGCAAGUAUAGAGUCUUACAUCUGGGGAGGACUAACUGCAUGCAUCAGUACAGGCACAAGUGCUUUUGAGCAUGGAGAAUGAAUGAAGAAAUGAGAAGAAUCUUCAAUUCUCUGUUUGGUGAUCACAGAUAAGGUCCAGGUGGAAAAUAUCUCCUCUGCUCAAGAAUAUAAUCCAGCAAGUUACCAGGCCAAAUGGCUCUCUGAACACGAGCCCACAAAGCGCUGAAUGAGGAAGUGCACUGCUCCAGGAGAUUUCAGCACAGCCAACCAGAAGGUGGCUUUAGCAGUGGUGCUAGAAACAAAAAAAUGGCUUGAAACGCGUAUUAGAAUUCAGUAAAGAGAAACUACGGGGAAGAAAGAAGUACAAGCCAACUGCAGAGCAGGAAAACUGUUGAACAUUCUCCAAUUUCUUUUGACACUUCACAGUGACAGAAACCCCUGUGCUAAAUAUGUUGGUGCUGAGCUGCUGUGAAAAUUUACUGUUCAAUAGCUUCCAGAGUUUCUCAUCUCUUACCUACAGUGAGCAAGCAUAGUGUCUGACCAUUGGGCUUCCUUGCUGAGUAUGGCUGUCUACUGAGUAGCUCAAAGACUUUUAAAGGAUUUUGUGAACUAUGUUUCCAAGGUGCCCUCUACUUUUAAUCUCCUUAUGACUGGAAAUUGUUGGUCCAUGGCGCUAUUGGUGAGAAGCAAAGCUACUGAACUUUGUGAAUCAGCAAAUGAAUGAAAAAUCACUGGGACUAACAAUGCCUGUUGGAUCUUAAAAGAAAAUAACACUUCAUAACGUGCUUCAUUUUGACAAACACAAUUUCAUUGUAAUUUGAAGUAGCAACACUUGGCAAUAUAUUGAAUCUUCGUUUUUCUUAGGUCACGUGCUGGCUGGCUGGCAGCUGGGUCCAAGGAUUGAAGGUAAAAGACACAGAGGUGGAAAUGAAACACAAGGUCAUUUAAUUUACAAUCCUUCAUUUUGCUCAGCAACUUUUUGACUAGUAUCAUUUUAACACUAUUGAUGAUCUCAACUGAUUAUUUCCUGUAGAGAGUGUUCACAGCCUAAUAUUAAUUGCACAACACUGUAAAAUUUCCAAAAAAUUUGAAGGGGUUAAAACAAAAUGGUACUGCAGCUUUCUGCUAUUAGAUAUCUGCUAAUGGGAGCACAUGAUGAAGGUUAGAGUAAAUUAAUUGCUUGAUUAUACAACCCUUGGAUCUUGCGUUCAUAGGCUAAGUAACAAAUCAGUGUUUCUGUAUAUUUUUAUUCUAAUUACAUAAUGAUAUAGUAGAGUGUAGGGACAGUCAUCCCAAUGGUAAUUUUUAAUUGUGGAAGUUCAGAGACUUCUGGGUAGGUUGGAACAGUAGCUGAACCUGCUGCUCUGUUUUUGGUUUUGCUCACACUGAAAUGUAGGAAAGCCUCUUAGUGGGAUGCAUGCAUGCAUGUCUAGGAAUACUGGCACUGCUUGGUUUCACUAAUUUUUUUUUUUUUAAUAGACAAAGUGGAUUUUCUGCCCAACUUAGAAACAUAAAUCUGCCAAGAUGUAUAACAAAGACUAAGUCAUGGACAAAGCAGCCAGAGGAAACUCUGAAACUGUCUGAUAGCACUGGGGUAACAGAACGUCACACUAAGCUGCAACACCUCAUCCGCCAGCAAGCUCCUUUGGACUGUAGCUGCCCUAUAACGUUUCUCACAUAUGCAUGGAACUAUGAAAUUCAGUGUUCCAGCACAACAUUAGUUAGAUUUAGCUUUGGUGCUUGGCUGCUGGUUACUGCUGAAAAAACAGAGGUUUGCUUUGCUAAAGCAUCCAAAAUGAAAUUUGCUUGCUGUUGCUGCACUAAGUUGCCAUCCAGCAUGCACUGAAGAAAAAAAUCCUGGUUAUUUUCCCAUGGCUCCCUUAGCCAUACAAGUGCUAGGUGGGAAUGCACCUUCCUUGUGAAAAUGGACUGUGGAGAACAGAUCAGCUGGAUUCUCAGGUUGUUCUCCUGGGGCCUUGGCAGGCUGGGACUCAGAGCUGCAGGCAGCCUCCCUUCCACUCAACCUCUGCAGGGUGAGCAAAACAGUGCUUCUACCUCCAUGUAGCUCUGUUUUGUAUAUGUCCUCUGUUCACUGCAAACAUAUGAAAGACACAUGUUUUAUUGCAGAUUUUUUUGGCAUGCAGACAAAGUGCAAGGAGAGGGGCUAAUUAGGCUUCAGGGUGGCACCUCCCUCUAGCAUCAUAAAUAAAAGCUAUUUAACAAAAAAUAUAAUAG